ACGCACGCUGGCGGCGUGCUUCACACCUGCCAGUCGAACGGAAAGGCCCUGCUUUUGUGGGGUGCUCGAGUGGCGAACGGGUGAGUAACACGUGAGUAACCUGCCCUUGACUUUGGGAUAACUUCAGGAAACUGGGGCUAAUACCGGAUAGGAGCUCCUGCUGCAUGGUGGGGGUUGGAAAGUUUCGGCGGUUGGGGAUGGACUCGCGGCUUAUCAGCUUGUUGGUGGGGUAGUGGCUUACCAAGGCUUUGACGGGUAGCCGGCCUGAGAGGGUGACCGGCCACAUUGGGACUGAGAUACGGCCCAGACUCCUACGGGAGGCAGCAGUGGGGAAUAUUGCACGAUGGGCGGAAGCCUGAUGCAGCAACGCCGCGUGCGGGAUGACGGCCUUCGGGUUGUAAACCGCUUUCGCCUGUGACGAAGCGUGAGUGACGGUAAUGGGUAAAGAAGCACCGGCUAACUACGUG
rnacentral:rRNA from 1 species